rnacentral:rRNA from 1 species
UGGGGAAUAUUGGACAAUGGGCGCAAGCCUGAUCCAGCCAUGCCGCGUGAGUGAUGAAGGCCUUAGGGUUGUAAAGCUCUUUCGCCGGUGAAGAUAAUGACGGUAACCGGAGAAGAAGCCCCGGCUAACUUCGUGCCAGCAGCCGCGGUAAUACGAAGGGGGCUAGCGUUGCUCGGAAUUACUGGGCGUAAAGCGCACGUAGGCGGUUUCUUAAGUCGGGGGUGAAAUCCUGGAGCUCAACUCCAGAACUGCCUUCGAUACUGGGAAACUUGAGUUCGGGAGAGGUGAGUGGAACUGCGAGUGUAGAGGUGAAAUUCGUAGAUAUUCGCAAGAACACCAGUGGCGAAGGCGGCUCACAGGCCCGAUACUGACGCUGAGGUGCGAAAGCGUGGGGAGCAAACA